rnacentral:rRNA from 1 species
UACGUAGGUGGCAAGCGUUGUCCGGAUUUAUUGGGUUUAAAGGGUGCGUAGGCGGUCCUUUAAGUCAGUGGUGAAAUACAGCCGCUCAACGGUUGAGGUGCCAUUGAUACUGAAGGACUUGAGUACAGUCGAGGUAGGCGGAAUUGACGGUGUAGCGGUGAAAUGCUUAGAUAUCGUCAAGAACACCGAUAGCGAAGGCAGCUUGCUAGGCUGUAACUGACGCUGAGGCACGAAGGUGCGGGGAUCAAACAGGAUUAGAUACCCUGGUAGUCCGCACAGUAAACGAUGGUCACUCGGUGUUGGCGAUACACGGCCAGCGCCUUAGCGAAAGCGUUAAGUGACCCACCUGGGGAGUACGCCCGCAAGGGUG